GAUGAACGCUAGCUACAGGCUUAACACAUGCAAGUCGAGGGGCAGCAUGGUGGUUGCUUGCAACCGCCGAUGGCGACCGGCGCACGGGUGAGUAACGCGUAUCCAACCUUCCCGUAACUAAGGGAUAACCCGCAGAAAUGUGGACUAAUACCUUAUGUAUUCCGAAGAUGACAUCUGAUUCGGAACAAAGAUUCAUCGGUUACGGAUGGGGAUGCGUCUGAUUAGGCAGUUGGCGGGGUAACGGCCCACCAAACCUACGAUCAGUAGGGGUUCUGAGAGGAAGGUCCCCCACAUUGGAACUGAGACACGGUCCAAACUCCUACGGGAGGCAGCAGUGAGGAAUAUUGGUCAAUGGGCGGAAGCCUGAACCAGCCAAGUAGCGUGCAGGACGACGGCCCUAUGGGUUGUAAACUGCUUUUGUGCGGGGAUAAAGGACACGACGUGUCGUGUUUUGCAGGUACCGUACGAAUAAGGACCGGCUAAUUCCGUG
rnacentral:rRNA from 1 species